rnacentral:rRNA from 1 species
AACGCGAAGAACCUUACCUGGGCUCGAACGGCUUCGGACAAUCCUUGGAAACAGGGACUUCCCGCAAGGGACUGGAGUCGAGGUGCUGCAUGGCUGUCGUCAGCUCGUGUCGUGAGAUGUUGGGUUAAGUCCCGCAACGAGCGCAACCCUUGUCCUGUGUUGGCAUGCCGCAAGGCGCAACUCUCAGGAGACCGCCAGCGAUAAGUUGGAGGAAGGUGGGGAUGACGUCAAGUCAUCAUGGCCUUUAUGUCCAGGGCCACACACGUGCUACAAUGGGCGGUACAAAGCGCUGCCAACCCGCGAGGGGGAGCUAAUCGCCAAAAAACCGUCCUCAGUUCGGAUUGCAGGCUGCAACUCGCCUGCAUGAAGCUGGAAUCGCUAGUAAUGCUAUAUCAGAACGAUAGCGUGAAUACGUUCCCGGGCCUUGUA